rnacentral:rRNA from 1 species
UACGUAGGGGGCAAGCGUUGUCCGGAAUCAUUGGGCGUAAAGAGCGUGUAGGCGGUUCGGUAAGUCGGCUGUGAAAGUCCAGGGCUCAACCCUGGGAUGCCGGUCGAUACUGCCGGACUAGAGUUCGGAAGAGGCGAGUGGAAUUCCCCGGUGUAGCGGUGAAAUGCGCAGAUAUCGGGAGGAACACCUAUGGCGAAGGCAGCUCGCUGGGACGU